rnacentral:rRNA from 1 species
UACGAAGGGUGCAAACGUUGCUCGGAAUCAUUGGGCGUAAAGCGCACGUAGGCGGCUUGCCAAGUCGGACGUGAAAUCCCUCAGCUCAACUGAGGACGUGCAUCCGAAACUGGCGAGCUUGAGUACUGAAGAGGAUCGCGGAAUUCCCGGUGUAGAGGUGAAAUUCGUAGAUAUCGGGAGGAACACCAGUGGCGAAGGCGGCUCACUGGCCCGAUACUGACGCUGAGGCACGAAAGCGUGGGGAGCAAACAGG